rnacentral:rRNA from 1 species
CGAUAACGAACGAGACCUUAACCUGCUAAAUAGCCAGGCCGCUUUUGCGGGUCUCCGGCUUCUUAGAGGGACUAUCGGAGAUCAAGUCGAUGGAAGUUUGAGGCAAUAACAGGUCUGUGAUGCCCUUAGAUGUUCUGGGCCGCACGCGCGCUACACUGACAGAGCCAACGAGUACAUCGCCUUGGCCGGAAGGUCUGGGUAAUCUUGUUAAACUCUGUCGUGCUGGGGAUAGAGCAUUGCAAUG